UGAUAUUUAUUCUUAUUGUGUUGCUUUGUUAUUGUUAGGCUGCUCUAAUACAGGCCAUAAUAAUGAAUUGGAGAAGUUCAUUUCUGUCUUUAUAAUGUUGUGAAUGUUCAUCAUGCCAUUCUCUCAUGGUAGAAUCUAGACGGGUGUCAGGGCAGAACUCUUCAAUUUUGUUGUUGAUUUCUUAGGCUCCACACAUGACUCAUCAAUUCUCAGUUUGCAUUAUGUGGUGAUUGAUUGGGACCUGGGAUUGUGAGAGGAUAUGUUGAAGAUGGCAAGUGCAAAUAUAUGAUUUGAACUUUAUAGUGGAGGUUAGUCAUCACCUCAUGUAGCUGUUUUUCUUAAUGUAGUUCACAAACUGGGAAAGAAGAAACUUGACUCUGGUGAAGAAGAAAAGAGAAAGGAAAUUGAGAUGCUAUUGCACCAGGCUGGUCCUCAUGGAGGAACAUUAAUGUCAUCUCUCAGUUCCAAUGGAAGUGUAACGUGACAUGUUACUGAUGGAAGUGGACUGUGUAUAAAGAGUGUGCAGGCAGAGAAAGCAUUGAGACCCACACAUUUUGGCAAUAAUGGACAGAAUACGUUCCCCACAUACAGUGCCGGCAUCAGUCAGCUACAAACAUGUAGCAGAUGGGCCCUGUGACAGUUAAGCAGAGUAGAAAAGGUGUUGUGAAAAACUGAUAGUUGCAUAAGAAUACCUUACCCAUCCAUGCCAAAGUUACAGGAGUAAGCUCAUUCUAACAACACUGUUUUAAUUGAGCUGUGCAUGACUAGAAAACAUUUUGUGUUGUUUUUAAGGCACAGCAUUAGCUAUUAACUCAUUUUCAGGAAAUAUAUAAUUUACUCUGUAACUCACAAUCUUUCAUCACCAUAAAGCACAAAGCAAACUUUUGCAUGGAAAAUGGAUCCUGAUGAAUGAAUUGUGUCUGAGAUUAGUGUGAAACACAUAAAAGUGAGUCUAAGGAAGAUUCCUAAAGCAAUGGAUUAGUGAUCAUUAAAAGAAAGUAAAGGGCUUCUGACAUAAAGGAUGAAGGGAACCUCAUACCAGCAGGACUUCACACUUUUCUGUAAUGCUGUCAUGGCAGAGCAUGUAUCCUUGUUUAUGUAACAGUUGCUGAGGAAGACAGGCAUUUGGGUCUUGUCCAAUCAAAACAAAUUUUAGUUUUAGUUAUAUUUUUAACUAGAAAACAUAACUUUAGAUUAUAAUGCAGAGAAAUUAUACCCUGAGUUAUGCACGCACAUGAACUGAAAGUAAUUACGUUGUUCUUUUCAUGU
rnacentral:lncRNA from 1 species